rnacentral:rRNA from 1 species
CACCGCGGUUAUACGAGAGGCCCAAGUUGAUAGCCUCCGGCGUAAAGAGUGGUUAGGAAAAACCACAAACUAAAGCUGAAUUCUUUCAAGACUGUUAUACGUACCCGAAAGCAAGAAGCCCAACUACGAAAGUGGCUUUAAAUUUUCUGAACCCACGAAAGCUGGGAAA